rnacentral:rRNA from 1 species
CUUAGCUUAACUAAGACACGGCCAUUGAUACUGUUUGACUUGAAUAGUAUGGAAGUAACUAGAAUAUGUAGUGUAGCGGUGAAAUGCUUAGAUAUUACAUGGAAUACCAAUUGCGAAGGCAGGUUACUACGUAUUUAUUGACGCUGAUGAACGAAAGCGUGGGGAGCGAACAGGAUUAGAUACCCUGGUAGUCCACGCCGUAAACGAUGGAUACUAGCUGUUCGGUUUUCGGACUGAGUGGCUAAGCGAAAGUGAUAAGUAUCCCACCUGGGGAGUACGUUCGCAAGAAUGAAACUCAAAGGAAUUGACGGGGGCCCGCACAAGCGGUGGAGCAUGUGGUUUAAUUCGAUGAUACGCGAGGAACCUUACCAGGGCUUAAAUGUAGAUUGACAGAUUUGGAAACAGAUUUUUCUUCGGACAAUUUACAAGGUGCUGCAUGGUUGUCGUCAGCUCGUGCCGUGAGGUGUCAGGUUAAGUCCUAUAACGAGCGCAACCCCUAUUGUUAGUUACCAGCGCGUAGUGGCGGGGACUCUAGCAAGACUGCCGGUGCAAACCGUGAGGAAGGUGGGGAUGACGUCAAAUCAUCACGGCCCUUACGUCCUGGGCUACACACGUGCUACAAUGGCAAGUACAGAAAGCAGCUACCUGGCAACAGGAUGCGAAUCUCCAAAGCUUGUCUCAGUUCGGAUUGGAGUCUGCAACUCGACUCUAUGAAGCUGGAAUCGCUAGUAAUCGGAUAUCAGCCAUGAUCCGGUGAAUACGUUCCCGGGCCUUGUACACACCGCCCGUCAAGCCAUGGAAGCUGGGGGUACCUGAAGUCGGUGACCGCAAGGAGCUGCCUAGGGUAAAACUAGUAACUAGGGCUAAGUCGUAACAAGGUACCAAU